UGAGAUAAUGAUGAACUGAAACUUGAUUGUUCCAUUAGGUUCUUGGAAACAAAUUCCAAAGUAAAUUACUUGAGAUUAUCGAUGCGAGUGAGCUGCCGAAAUUCUUAGGCGGUAGUUGCACUUGUGAAGAUCAUGGUGAUUGUAUGAGAUCUGAUAAAGGGACGUGGCAAGACCCGAACAUAUUAAAGAUGGUUCUUAGUGGUAAAGUGCAAUGUUGUAAACAAAUAGUUGCGCUUUCCAACGACGAGGGGAGGGUGAUUGAAUGUG